rnacentral:sRNA from 1 species
GGCGCGGCAGCUGUCUGGGCUGCUGCGCGCCGCCUAGGUGUCUGGGCGAUCCAUGGGCAAGAGCAAGGGCCACGAUGACAGAUUACGGCGAGGAGCAGCGCAACGAGCUGGAGGCUCUGGAGUCCAUCUACCCUGACUCCUUCACAGGCAGAUGUCUCUCAGCUAUCCCUGUAUAGCUCCAGUCCUGUUCAUGUUCUCUCUCACCAGCAGUACAUCUGUGCUGUGAGGAUGUUAAGGGGAUGAGUGAAGAGGGGUUUGAGAGUGUCAUUAACUGGUAUUAUCAGAAAAUCCACCCAGCUUCACCAUUACUGUGACGUCUGAGGCUGGAGAAAAUGAUGAAACUGUCCAGACUACCCUCAAGUUUACAUACAGUGAAAAAUACCCAGAUGAAGCUCCCCUUUAUGAAAUAUUCUCCCAGGAAAAUCUAGAAGAUAAUGAUGUCUCAG